rnacentral:rRNA from 1 species
GAAUAUUGGACAAUGGGGGAAACCCUGAUCCAGCAAUGCCGCGUGAGUGAUGAAGGCCUUAGGGUUGUAAAGCUCUUUCGGCGGGGAAGAUGAUGACGGUACCCGCAGAAGAAGCCCCGGCUAACUUCGUGCCAGCAGCCGCGGUAAUACGAAGGGGGCUAGCGUUGUUCGGAAUUACUGGGCGUAAAGGGCGCGUAGGCGGCGCAUUAAGUCAGGUGUGAAAGCCCUGGGCUCAACCCAGGAAUAGCACUUGAUACUGAAGCGCUUGAAUUCGGGAGAGGAUGACGGAAUUCCCAGUGUAGAGGUGAAAUUCAUUGAUAUUGGGAAGAACACCAGUGGCGAAGGCGGUCAUCUGGCCCGUAAUUGACGCUGAGGCGCGAAAGCGUGGGGAGCAAACAGG